rnacentral:rRNA from 2 species
GGAGCUUGCUCCCGGAUGUUAGCGGCGGACGGGUGAGUAACACGUGGGUAACCUGCCUGUAAGACUGGGAUAACUCCGGGAAACCGGAGCUAAUACCGGAUAGUUCCUUGAACCGCAUGGUUCAAGGAUGAAAGACGGUUUCGGCUGUCACUUACAGAUGGACCCGCGGCGCAUUAGCUAGUUGGUGAGGUAACGGCUCACCAAGGCGACGAUGCGUAGCCGACCUGAGAGGGUGAUCGGCCACACUGGGACUGAGACACGGCCCAGACUCCUACGGGAGGCAGCAGUAGGGAAUCUUCCGCAAUGGACGAAAGUCUGACGGAGCAACGCCGCGUGAGUGAUGAAGGUUUUCGGAUCGUAAAGCUCUGUUGUUAGGGAAGAACAAGUGCAAGAGUAACUGCUUGCACCUUGACGGUACCUAACCAGAAAGCCACGGCUAACUACGUGCCAGCAGCCGCGGUAAUACGUAGGUGGCAAGCGUUGUCCGGAAUUAUUGGGCGUAAAGGGCUCGCAGGCGGUUUCUUAAGUCUGAUGUGAAAGCCCCCGGCUCAACCGGGGAGGGUCAUUGGAAACUGGGAAACUUGAGUGCAGAAGAGGAGAGUGGAAUUCCACGUGUAGCGGUGAAAUGCGUAGAGAUGUGGAGGAACACCAGUGGCGAAGGCGACUCUCUGGUCUGUAACUGACGCUGAGGAGCGAAAGCGUGGGGAGCGAACAGGAUUAGAUACCCUGGUAGUCCACGCCGUAAACGAUGAGUGCUAAGUGUUAGGGGGUUUCCGCCCCUUAGUGCUGCAGCUAACGCA